ensembl:lncRNA
GGACUGCAGUCUGCUUCCUGGGUACAACUGUGCAUACACAUCCUAGUGCACAAAACCAGUGAGGUUGUGUUGUGCAGUGGAGCUGACUUCUGAAGCUGGUUCUUCUUGAGUAGCCCGCAUGGAGACGGUGCCUGCUAGGAGCUUUAUUUAAACAGGUCUGGGGCUCCAACCUGCCCUGCUGCCAUUAUGCAGCAAACACAUCCCAUCGGAGAGAAGGUUCCACCUGAAGCACCAGCCCUGGGAAAAUGCUGCCUGCCUUUGCUCGCUGCAAAACUGCUUUCCGUGUAGCCAUCUAGUGGAAAACUACAGAAAUGCUCCCAAUGAGGGGGAAGAAAAUAGGGAAGAUUACUGCGGGCGUUCAAGAGAUCUCAGUAUAAAUAUCCGGU